rnacentral:lncRNA from 1 species
CCCAAAAGGGUUAACUGACCUGCCUGGGAGAUGGGAAAGAGAGAUACACCACAGUCCAAGAUACAGUUGCUGCUGGAAAAAGAAAUCGCUGAAAUCCCAAAACACCCCUUUCAAAAUAUCUAGGCUUUCAAAGCCGUGUCUUUCCUUCUCCCCUCUCUUAGACGUGAGGAAUGAGAGAUGUGUGUGUGUGACACAUCCAACUGGAAUCUGCAAAUCACUGAUCCUUUAAAACCUAUUUUUGUAAAUACCAAUAAAACAAGUCUUG